rnacentral:rRNA from 1 species
GAUGGACCCGCGGUGCAUUAGCUAGUUGGUGAGGUAACGGCUCACCAAGGCAACGAUGCAUAGCCGACCUGAGAGGGUGAUCGGCCACACUGGGACUGAGACACGGCCCAGACUCCUACGGGAGGCAGCAGUAGGGAAUCUUCGGCAAUGGACGAAAGUCUGACCGAGCAACGCCGCGUGAGUGAAGAAGGUUUUCGGAUCGUAAAACUCUGUUGUUAGAGAAGAACAAGGAUGAGAGUAGAACGUUCAUCCCUUGACGGUAUCUAACCAGAAAGCCACGGCUAACUACGUGCCAGCAGCCGCGGUAAUACGUAGGUGGCAAGCGUUGUCCGGAUUUAUUGGGCGUAAAGCGAGCGCAGGCGGUUUCUUAAGUCUGAUGUGAAAGCCCCCGGCUCAACCGGGGAGGGUCAUUGGAAACUGGGAGACUUGAGUGCAGUAGAGGAGAGUGGAAUUCCAUGUGUAGCGGUGAAAUGCGUAGAUAUAUGGAGGAACACCAGUGGCGAAGGCGGCUCUCUGGUCUGUAACUGACGCUGAGGCUCGAAAGCGUGGGGAGCGAACAGGAUUAGAUACCCUGGUAGUCCACGCC